AUUAAACGCUGGCGGCAGGCUUAACACAUGCAAGUCGAGCGGGGAAGGGUAGCUUGCUACCUAACCUAGCGGCGGACGGGUGAGUAAUGCUUAGGAAUCUGCCAUUUAGUGGGGGACAACAUUCCGAAAGGAAUGCUAAUACCGCAUACGUCCUACGGGAGAAAGCAGGGGAUCUUCGGACCUUGCGCUAAAUGAUGAGCCUAAGUCGGAUUAGCUAGUUGGUGGGGUAAAGGCCUACCAAGGCGACGAUCUGUAGCGGGUCUGAGAGGAUGAUCCGCCACGCUGGGACUGGCACACGGCCCAGACUCCUACGGGAGGCAGCAGUGGGGAAUAUUGGACAAUGGGCGGAAGCCUGAUCCAGCCAUGCCGCGUGUGUGAAGAAGGCCUUAUGGUUGUAAAGCACUUUAAGCGAGGAGGAGGCUACUUAGAUUAAUACUCUAGGAUAGUGGACGUUACUCGCAGAAUAAGCACCGGCUAACUCUGUGCCAGCCGCCGCCGUAA
rnacentral:rRNA from 1 species